rnacentral:rRNA from 1 species
GACGAACGCUGGCGGCGUGCUUAACACAUGCAAGUCGAGCGGUAAGGCCCUUUCGGGGGUACACGAGCGGCGAACGGGUGAGUAACACGUGGGUGACCUGCCCUCAGCUCUGGGAUAAGCCUGGGAAACUGGGUCUAAUACUGGAUAUGACUCCACGGUGCAUGUCGUGGGGUGGAAAGCCUUGUGCGGCUGAGGAUGGGCCCGCGGCCUAUCAGCUUGUUGGUGGGGUGANGGCCUACCAAGGCGACGACGGGUAGCCGGCCUGAGAGGGCGGCCGGCCACACUGGGACUGAGACACGGCCCAGACUCCUACGGGAGGCAGCAGUGGGGAAUCUUGCGCAAUGGGCGAAAGCCUGACGCAGCGACGCCGCGUGAGGGAUGACGGCCU